CUGCAGCUCGUUUGUCUCAUCCCAUCUUAGAUAUUUUUCUUCUUUAUUUGAAAAAAGGGAACAUUUAGAUCAGAAAUCAAGGAGGAGAAAAAAAGUUAAUUAGUUAAUUCUUAAUUCCUAAUUAAUUCUCUAGUACCGUUCAUGGCACUACCUUCUCUGUCUUCCUUCACUUGUGACUGGACUUAUGAUGUUUUCCUCAAUUUUAGAGGCAAAGAUACCCGAAACAACUUCACUGGUAAUCUCUACAACUCUCUACAAAAUCAAAGAGGUAUACAAACUUUUAUGGAUGAUGAAGAAAUUCAAAAAGGAGAAGAAAUCACACCUACUCUUCUUCAAGCCAUUGAAGAAUCUAGGAUUUUCAUUGCUAUUUUCUCACCUAACUAUGCAUCUUCAACGUUUUGUUUGACUGAACUUGUCACCAUCCUUGAGUGCUCCAUGUCACAAGGAAGGUUAUUUUCGCCGGUGUUUUAUGAUGUGGAUCCAUCUCAAAUUCGAUACCUGACUGGAACUUAUGCCGAGGCUUUCAAAAAACACGAGGAGAGGUUUGGAGAUGACAAGCAUAAGAUGCAGAAAUGGAGAGAUGCUUUACAUCAAGCUGCUAAUAUGUCUGGAUGGCAUUUCAAACCAGGGUAUGAAUUAGAAUAUAAAUUUAUUGAAAAGAUAGUUAAAGCAGUCUCUGUAAAGAUCAACCGCAUUCCUUUACAUGUUGCAAAGAACCCUGUUGGCUUGGAGUCUCAAAUAUUAGAAGUGAUAUCUCUCCUUGGACUUGACUCGAAUGAGAAAGUCAACAUGGUAGGCAUUUAUGGAAUCGGCGGAAUAGGCAAAUCAACAACUGCUCGUGCUGUGCAUAACUUGAUUGCUGAUCAGUUUGAAGGUGUGUGUUUUCUCGAUGACUUAAGAAAGAGGGAAAUUAAUCAUGAUCUUGCACGGCUCCAAGAAGCACUACUUUCUGAUAUAUUGGGGGAGAAGGAUAUUAAAGUAGGAGAUGUUUACAGAGGAAUGUCGAUAAUUAAAAGGAGGCUUCAAAGAAAGAAAGUCCUUUUGAUUCUUGAUAAUGUCGACAAAGGUAAGCAGUUACAGGCAUUUGUAGGAGGAGAUGAUUGGUAUGGCUCCGGAAGCAAGAUCAUAGUCACUACAAGAGACAAGCAUUUGUUGGCCAGUAAUGGGAUUGUGAAAGUAUAUGAGGUUAAACAGCUAAAAAAUGAAAAGGCCCUGGAGUUGUUUAGUUGGCAUGCAUUUAAAAAUAAAAAAAAUUAUCCAGGUCAUCUGGAUAUCGCAAAACGUGCAGUAUCUUAUUGUCAGGGUCUUCCCUUGGCUUUGGAGGUAAUAGGAUCUCAAUUGUUUGGAAAAAGUUUAGCUGUAUGGAAAUCCUCAUUAGACAAAUAUGAAAGAGUCCUUCUAAAGAUAUCCAUGAAAUUCUGAAAGUUAGCUAUGAUGAUUUGGAAGAAGAUGAGAAGGGCAUUUUUCUAGACAUAGCUUGUUUCUUCAAUUCUUUUGAAAUAGGCUAUGUUAAAGAAAUACUAUACUUACAUGGUUUUCAUGCAGAAGAUGGCAUACAAGAGCUAACUGACAAAUCUCUCAUGAAAAUUGAUACCAAUGGUUGUGUGAGAAUGCAUGACUUGAUUCAAGACAUGGGGAGAGAAAUCGUAAGGCAGGAAUCAACGUUGGAACCUGAGAGACGCAGUAGAUUAUGGUUUAGUGAUGACAUGCAUUGUUCAUGUUUUGAAAGAAAAUAAGGGAACUGAUACAGUUGAAGUCAUAAUCGCCGACUUGCGCAAAGAAAGUGAAAUGGUGUGGAGCCUUUGGGCAGAUGAAGAACUUGAAAAUUCUUAUAAUAAGAAAUGCCCGAUUUUCCAACAGUCCUCAAAUUCUUCCAAAUUGCUUGAAAGUUCUUGAUUGGAGUGGAUAUCCAUCCUCCUCCUUACCAUCUGAGUUUAAUCCCAGGAAUCUUGCUAUACUUAACCUGCAUGAAAGUCGCCUUAAAUGGUUCCAAUCACUCAAGGCAUGUAUUCUUUUAAAAAGAAAAUAAAUAAUCAUGUCUUGAACAUUUUCUGUUGGCCUUAAACUAAUAUAUUUCCAGUUGUAUCCUAAACAUUCGAGGCAUCUACUUUUUUUAGGUGUUUGAGAGGUUGAGCCUUCUGGAUUUUGAAGGCUGCAAGUUCCUAAUUGAAGUACCUAGCUUAUCUAGAGUACCAAAUUUGGGGGCAUUGUGUCUUGAUUACUGCACUAAUUUAAUUAGAGUCCAUGAUUCAGUUGGGUUUCUUGACAGGCUUGUAUUAUUAAGUGCUCAAGGAUGCACCUGACUAGAAAUUUGGUUCCCUACAUGAACUUGCCAUCUCUAGAGACUUUAGAUCUUAGAGGUUGCUCGCAUCUUGAGAGCUUCCCAGAAGUACUAGGAAUGAUGGAGAAUGUAAUAUAGGAGAAUUAAUAUGAAAUAAUAAAGAAUUAAUGAGGAGCAAAAGUCAUACCACAACAAAUCAAAGCAUGGAACUGUUACAGCUCAAAAGUCAAUGAGACAACAAAACAAAUCAUGUAAUUAUAGUAAUUGUAUUAUAUGUAUUUAUGUAGUAUUGUAUAUUUCCCUGAUUGUAGCAUAGUGCAUGAAUGCACUCGGUUCACUCUCUAUCUAUUAAUAGAGAUUAUUCUCACAAUUGUAAUUCAUUCAAAAAUAAUAUAAACCACUGUUCUUAUAUGUAAAAGAUGUUUAUUUAGAUGAGAUGGACCUAUACCAGUUGCCUUUUACAAUUGAAAUCUUGUUGGGCUGCAACGUUUGUUCUUGAGGGAAUGCAAAAGGAUGAUUCAGCUACCAAGCUACAUAUUGCCAAAAUUUGAGAUAAUAACAUCUUAUGGUUGCAGGGGAUUUCGAUCAUCUGAAAAUGAAGAAAAAUUGUAUCCAAAAGUGUUUGAAAAUGCAAUGCGGGUUUAUAAUGAAUGUGGGAAGUCCUUCCUUAAUGUGUAUUCUCGUAAUAAAACCUCCAAUGAUGUCAUAGAAGUAUGUAGUCCUCGGCGUGAAUCUUAUCUCGAUCUUUCACCAGAGAGAAUAUGUUGGGGUGAGCUUAGACAUAAUAAAUCAUCAGUGUGUUUUUGGUUCCGAAAAAAAUUCCCCGAGAUAGCUCUAUGGUGUGAUGUACGACCUCAAAAGCAUUUGGACAACAUGGUGUUGGAUUUUAAGUUCAAUGUACUCGUUAAUGGUACUAAGCACCUUACUUCUUCAUGUGUCUACAUAUUUUAUGCAGAAAGAGAGACGGGCCAAAUUCUUUGUUGUGAUCUA